rnacentral:rRNA from 1 species
CACUUUGAGUAGCAAUACUUGGGGUGUUCUAGUGGCGAUCGGGUGAGUAACACGUAGGUGACCUACCCCGAAGAGGGGGAUAACGGCCCGAAAGGGCUGCUAAUACCCCAUGUGAUUAGCGAUUCAUUUUGCUAAUUAAAGCUUCCGCAAGGAGUGUGCUUUGGGAGGGGCCUGCGGCGGAUUAGAUUGUUGGUGGGGUAAUGGCCUACCAAGUCGAUGAUCCGUAGCUAGUCUGAGAGGACGAUUAGCCACACUGGCACUGACACACGGGCCAGACUCCUACGGGAGGCAGCAGCAGGGAAUAUUGCACAAUGGGCGAAAGCCUGAUGCAGCAACGCCGCGUGAGGGAUGAAGGUCUUCGGAUUGUAAACCUCUUUUUUGGGGGAAGAGAUGGGACGGUACCCCGAGAAUAAGCAACGGCUAACUACGUGCCAGCAGCCGCGGUAAUACGUAGGUUGCGAGCGUUAUUCGGAUUUACUGGGCGUAAAGCGCACCGAGGUGGCUUCUUAAGUUGGAUGUAAAAUCUCCCGGCUCAACUGGGAGGCGCCAUUCAAAACUGGGGAGCUUGAGACCAGCAGGGGAAAGUGGAAUUCCCGGUGUAGUGGUGGAAUGCGUAGAGAUCGGGAGGAACACCAGUGGCGAAAGCGACUUUCUGGGCUGCGUCUGACACUCUAGUGCGAAAGCGUGGGGAGCAAACAGGAUUAGAUACCCUGGUAGUCCACGCCCUAAACGAUGGAUACUAGGUGUGGGAGGUAUUGACCCCUUCCGUGCCGAAGCCAACGCGUUAAGUAUCCCGCCU